AGAUCUAAUGGCUCUGUUAAUGGGGUAGGAUCCGAGACUCCUUUCGGGGUUACACAGGCUCUCCUACCCAUCCCCUAUUCUGUCACGUCCUCGUCGUACAGAGUGUUAACUUUCCCCACCACAUAUCCAAGCUUGGGUACACGGGUCUGUCUCAACCCCUUGGGCGGAUGGUGGAGCUAGGCUAAACAGGAGGGG
rfam:Anopheles stephensi strain SDA-500 unplaced genomic scaffold supercont1.23, whole genome shotgun sequence.